UAUGUCAUUAGAUACAAUUAAUGUUCAAAUAAACAAGUCAAAGUCAAAGAAAAUCUUUCUGGGAUGAGAUCAUAGAUGAGAUAAGUGUCUCGCGAUGUUCGGAACGUCGGGAUAGCACAAAGGAGUUUGCUAAAAUAUUUGUGGGGACAUUUUUGUCAUCUCAAAAUAUUGAUUAGGACUACUAGCGUCCCACCCUAAACCUACGCCCAUGGAAUAUUCACAGCGAUCAGUUCGUACAGAAGCCUACUUCCUGUCCCUAAAAGAGGAUUAUCAUUACGCGCCCAAACCGAACUACUUGAACAACACCUGCGCCCUGCCCGUCUGAUUCGUCUUACUAGAUAGGUUUUCUUUUGGAUGUCUGCUGGGCGGCCCCCGAAUGCGGUUGAGUGACGGAGGAGUCGUUAGAAACAAGAAGGAAUUCAACAUCACCACACCACUUCCCGAGAGCUGUAGGAGGGCCUGCUCGUUCGUUAUAAGAGAAAGUUGGAAAUGGACGUUUGGAUUUAAGCUUGCUGCCUGACGAUGUCGCCAGAGCCAUUCGUUUGGCUUCAUGCACGCUCUGUUACCAACAUAUUGGGCAGCCGUGCCCUAGCACUCUGGAUUUGUAAGCGGAGGAUUGCCGGUUCGAGCGCCGACCAGUGGGCCGCGGCUGAAGUGCCCUUGAGCAAGGCACCUAACCUCUCACUGCU